CAUAUCAAUCGAUGAUUUUAUGAAUAGUGACAAAUGGUGAUCUUCAGUUACACUAAUCUGCGUCAGCUCUACUCUGUCCCCGUUUCACAAAAUGGAGGAUUCAACUCUCCCUCUGCAGGGGAGCACGUUAUCGGGAGAGCAGACUUAAAGGGCCAGAACCACUUUUUUUCACAUACAUGUUGCAGUUGAAUACAAAGACUCAAAUAAACGAAAAUCAAAUGAAAACAUAUUAUUUUCCCCCAAAAGAAAACACUUCCCUUUCUUUUAUGAAUUUAAAGGAAAUUUUUUUUAAU